UGUGUGUGUGUGUGUGUGUGUAAAUGUCUUUAGUUUUUGUCUUUGUCAAUGUCUUUCAUAGAGCAAAUAACAUUAUAUCUUUCAGAGUUGACAUUUCCAACCAUAGACCUGUUUUAUUCUGGGUUUCCGACUGGAAACCCAGAAAUUCCGACAUUCCAUGUAAAACUGAACACAACAUAGUCCGUGCCCCUCGGUU